rnacentral:rRNA from 1 species
UACGUAGGGUGCAAGCGUUGUCCGGAAUUAUUGGGCGUAAAGAGCUCGUAGGCGGUUUGUUGCGUCGGCUGUGAAAUCCCGAGGCUCAACCUCGGGUCUGCAGUCGAUACGAGCAAACUAGAGUGUUGCAGGGGAGACUGGAAUUCCUGGUGUAGCGGUGAAAUGCGCAGAUAUCAGGAAGGAACACCAAUGGCGAAGGCAGCACUCUGGGACGGUACUGACGCUGAGACGCGAAAGCGUGGGGAGCAAACAGG